rnacentral:sRNA from 1 species
CUCCCAUACAAAUACUAACCAGGCUGGACCCUGCUUAUUUUCUGAGAUCAGACAAGAUUGGGCACGUUCAGGGUGGU